ACCCAAGGCGGAGGCGGCUCGAGAGGAGGGCAAGGGACCCGGGACGCCUCAGGCUUGCAAGCGGGUAGUGGGAAGUGGAGGAAAAGGAGUCCCCAAACCCCGCCCCCCCCCCGCAGUCUCGGAACACCCCGGUGCCCUCUCAACACCGCCCCGCUAAGGGGGCCGCAGGCAGGACUGUGGAAAUCCCCCGCGCACCCUCUCCCCGGGAAGUUCUCGGGUGUUACCCGAGCACCCCUAAGGCUGCACCUCCCCUCGUCUGCCCAGGGCAGAAGAGAGAGGGGUCAGCGGGCGGGAGGGGCGACGAGCCGGGACCUCCCAGUCGCUGAGCGCCGACCUACCGGGUCGAGCCCGGGGCAUCCCCGCGGAGCGCAGACGGGCGGCGGGCGGGGGGCGGAAGGGGACAGUGACGGGCGUCCAGGGUUCGGGGUCCCGACGGGUCCAGUCAAGUGCAGCACCCGGCCACUGCCCGCGCCCAUCACUCGGGAUAAGCGAGGCAUCAUCCGCUGUAGGACACCCGGCCCGCGCCCCCUCCGUGGCCCCGACCCCACCCGGGACCCAGCAUCCGGACCCCCGACUACGGCCUCCGCACCCGAGGAAGCCCGACGAGCUUUGUUAACUCCCCUUGACGCCCGGCGCCGCCUUCGGGCGCCCCGGGAGCCGCGCGCCCCUAGCCUACCUCUGCGUCCCCCCCGCCCCGCAAGCCGAGGCCGCACCUGUGCCCGCCGCCGCCGCCGCCGCCGCCGCCGCCGCCGCUCGCCCGCUCCCCUUGGCUGUGCCGGCGCCGCUCCGAACCCCACACACAUCGCUACACACAGCCCUCUGACGUCACCGAGCCCUCGGCCCGCCCACGUCACUGCGGAGACACACGGCUUCCCGCAGACGCCGCCGCCGUCUCCGGCCGCCCGGGGGAGAGCGAGGGCGGCAGUGGGGGGAGGGGAGGAGAGGAGAACUGAGCCAGCGGCGGCACCGCGCGCGCAAGCCCGCCGCUGCCGCCUCGCGGCUCCUAGCCCCUCGGGGACGCGCGCGCCGUCUGCCCUAUAG
rnacentral:lncRNA from 1 species